rnacentral:rRNA from 1 species
AUUGAACGCUGGCGGCAGGCCUAACACAUGCAAGUCGAACGAGUGGCGGACGGGUGAGUAAUGUCUGGGAAACUGCCUGAUGGAGGGGGAUAACUACUGGAAACGGUAGCUAAUACCGCAUACCAUCGGAUGUGCCCAGAUGGGAUUCGCUAGUAGGUGGGGUAAAGGCUCACCUAGGCGACGAUCCCUAGCUGGUCUGAGAGGAUGACGAUGGACAGGGGAACUGAGACACGGUGCAUACUCCUACGGGAGGGAGCAGUGGGGAAUAUUGCACAAGGGGUGUAAGCCUGAUGCAGCCAUGCCGCGUGUAUGAAGAAGGCCUGCGGGUUGUAAAGUACUUUCAGUGGGGAGGCGUUACCCGCAGAAGAAGCACCGGCUAACGCCGGGCCAGCCGCCGCGGUAAUAC